rnacentral:lncRNA from 1 species
UGAAAAAUGAGUUCUUGUGGGAAGAGGUCAAAGACAAAAUCAUCGGAGAAUGUUCGGGGAAAUUGAAAGUUUCGACACUUGGAGGAAAUCUAGUUCUCUUUCAGAGUGCAUGCGGAGAUUCAACUGAAGAAAUCCUUAAAAGAGAUGGACGAAUGGUUUACAGUUCUGGUUCUUGUGGAGUAGGAAAUGGAAGAUCGGCGAUGUUUCGCAUCAAAGAGUGGUCUGGACCAAAUGGGUGGGUGUGCCUUUAC